AAAUUGAAGAGUUUGAUCAUGGCUCAGAUUGAACGCUGGCGGCAGGCCUAACACAUGCAAGUCGAACGGUAACAGGAAGCAGCUUGCUGCUUUGCUGACGAGUGGCGGACGGGUGAGUAAUGUCUGGGAAACUGCCUGAUGGAGGGGGAUAACUACUGGAAACGGUAGCUAAUACCGCAUAACGUCGCAAGACCAAAGAGGGGGACCUUCGGGCCUCUUGCCAUCGGAUGUGCCCAGAUGGGAUUAGCUAGUAGGUGGGGUAACGGCUCACCUAGGCGACGAUCCCUAGCUGGUCUGAGAGGAUGACCAGCCACACUGGAACUGAGACACGGUCCAGACUCCUACGGGAGGCAGCAGUGGGGAAUAUUGCACAAUGGGCGCAAGCCUGAUGCAGCCAUGCCGCGUGUAUGAAGAAGGCCUUCGGGUUGUAAAGUACUUUCAGCGGGGAGGAAGGUGUUGAGGUUAAUAACCUCAGCAAUUGACGUUACCCGCAGAAGAAGCACCGGCUAACUCCGUGCCAGCAGCCGCGGUAAUACGGAGGGUGCAAGCGUUAAUCGGAAUUACUGGGCGUAAAGCGCACGCAGGCGGUCUGUCAAGUCGGAUGUGAAAUCCCCGGGCUCAACCUGGGAACUGCAUUCGAAACUGGCAGGCUAGAGUCUUGUAGAGGGGGGUAGAAUUCCAGGUGUAGCGGUGAAAUGCGUAGAGAUCUGGAGGAAUACCGGUGGCGAAGGCGGCCCCCUAGACAAAGACUGACGCUCAGGUGCGAAAGCGUGGGGAGCAAACAGGAUUAGAUACCCUGGUAGUCCACGCCGUAAACGAUGUCGACUUGGAGGUUGUGCCCUUGAGGCGUGGCUUCCGGAGCUAACGCGUUAAGUCGACCGCCUGGGGAGUACGGCCGCAAGGUUAAAACUCAAAUGAAUUGACGGGGGCCCGCACAAGCGGUGGAGCAUGUGGUUUAAUUCGAUGCAACGCGAAGAACCUUACCUACUCUUGACAUCCAGAGAACUUUCCAGAGAUGGAUUGGUGCCUUCGGGAACUCUGAGACAGGUGCUGCAUGGCUGUCGUCAGCUCGUGUUGUGAAAUGUUGGGUUAAGUCCCGCAACGAGCGCAACCCUUAUCCUUUGUUGCCAGCGGUCCGGCCGGGAACUCAAAGGAGACUGCCAGUGAUAAACUGGAGGAAGGUGGGGAUGACGUCAAGUCAUCAUGGCCCUUACGAGUAGGGCUACACACGUGCUACAAUGGCGCAUACAAAGAGAAGCGACCUCGCGAGAGCAAGCGGACCUCAUAAAGUGCGUCGUAGUCCGGAUUGGAGUCUGCAACUCGACUCCAUGAAGUCGGAAUCGCUAGUAAUCGUGGAUCAGAAUGCCACGGUGAAUACGUUCCCGGGCCUUGUACACACCGCCCGUCACACCAUGGGAGUGGGUUGCAAAAGAAGUAGGUAGCUUAACCUUCGGGAGGGCGCUUACCACUUUGUGAUUCAUGACUGGGGUGAAGUCGUAACAAGGUAACCGUAGGGGAACCUGCGGUUGGAUCACCUCCUUA
rnacentral:rRNA from 1 species